rnacentral:rRNA from 2 species
AAACUUUCAACAACGGAUCUCUUGGUUCUCGCAUCGAUGAAGAACGCAGCGAAAUGCGAUAAGUAAUAUGAAUUGCAGCCUUUGUGAAUCAUCGAAUCUUUGAACGCACAUUGCGCCUUGGGGUAUUCCCCAAGGCAUGCCUGUUUGAGCGUCAGACU